rnacentral:rRNA from 1 species
ACUCCUACGGGAGGCAGCAGUGGGGAAUAUUGCACAAUGGGCGAAAGCCUGAUGCAGCAACGCCGCGUGCGGGAAGAAGGCCUUAGGGUUGUAAACCGCUUUCAGCAGGGAAGAAACUGACGGUACCUGCAGAAGAAGGUGCGGCCAACUACGUGCCAGCAGCCGCGGUGACACGUAGGCACCAAGCGUUGUCCGGAUUUAUUGGGCGUAAAGAGCUCGUAGGCGGUUCAGUAAGUCGGGUGUGAAAACUCUGGGCUCAACCCAGAGACGCCACCCGAUACUGCUGUGACUUGAGUACGGUAGGGGAGUGGGGAAUUCCUGGUGUAGCGGUGAAAUGCGCAGAUAUCAGGAGGAACACCAGUGGCGAAGGCGCCACUCUGGGCCGUAACUGACGCUGAGGAGCGAAAGCGUGGGUAGCAAACAGGAUUAGAUACCCUGGUAGUCCACGCCGUAAACGUUGGGCACUAGGUGUGGGUCUCAACCAACGAG